CAGUCGCCACGGUAAUACGUAGGUGGCAAGCGUUGUCCGGAAUUAUUGGGCGUAAAGCGCGCGCAGGUGGUUUAAUAAGUCUGAUGUGAAAGCCCACGGCUCAACCGUGGAGGGUCAUUGGAAACUGUUAAACUUGAGUGCAGGAGAGAAAAGUGGAAUUCCUAGUGUAGCGGCGAAAUGCGUAGAGAUUAGGAGGAACACCAGUGGCGAAGGCGGCUUUUUGGCCUGUAACUGACACUGAGGCGCAAAAGCGUGGGGAGCAAACAGGAUUAGAUACCCCCGUAGUCCCUGUCUCUUAUAC
rnacentral:rRNA from 1 species